AACGAACGCUGGCGGCAUGCCUAACACAUGCAAGUCGAACGAGACCUUCGGGUCUAGUGGCGCACGGGUGCGUAACGCGUGGGAACCUGCCCUUAGGUUCGGAAUAACUCCCCGAAAGGGGUGCUAAUACCGGAUAAUGUCUUCGGACCAAAGAUUUAUCGCCUUUGGAUGGGCCCGCGUUGGAUUAGCUAGUUGGUAGGGUAAAAGCCUACCAAGGCGACGAUCCAUAGCUGGUCUGAGAGGAUGAUCAGCCACACUGGGACUGAGACACGGCCCAGACUCCUACGGGAGGCAGCAGUGGGGAAGAUUGGACAAUGGGCGAAAGCCUGAUCCAGCAAGGCCGCGUGAGUGAUGAAGGCCUUAGGGUUGUAAAGCUCUUUUACCCGGGAUGAUAAUGACAGUACCGGGAGAAUAAGCUCCGGCUAACUCCGUGC
rnacentral:rRNA from 1 species